rnacentral:tRNA from 1 species
UAUAUGUUGAUGUAAAGAGCAUAAAAAGUUUUGAUCUUUUAAGAAACGGUGCGAUCCCGUUAUGUAUAA